rnacentral:misc_RNA from 1 species
GAUGAAGAACGUAGCGAAAUGCGAUACGUAGUGUGAAUUGCAGAAUUCAGUGAAUCAUCGAAUCUUUGAACGCACAUUGCGCCCUCUGGUAUUCCGGGGGGCAUGCCUGUCCGAGCGUCAUUGCAAACCCUCAAGCCCGGCUUGCGUGAUGGGUCGCAUCGUCCCCGAAGGCCCUCCGGGGCGGGUGGGACGGGCCCGAAAGGCAGCGGCGGCGUCGCGGUCAUCCGAUCAGCCCAAGCGUAUGGGGACAUCCGUCACACGCUAGGGGCGCGGACCGACGCCCGCCUGGAACGUCACACUUCUCAAGGUUUGACCUCGGAUCAGGUAGGGAUACCCGCUGAACUUAAGCAUAUCAAUAAGCGGAGGA